rnacentral:rRNA from 1 species
CUUGACGACCAUAGAGCGUUGGAACCACCUGAUCCCAUCCCGAACUCAGUAGUGAAACGACGCAUCGCCGAUGGUAGUGUGGGGUUUCCCCAUGUGAGAGUAGGUCAUCGUCAAGCUCCUAUCCCCAAACCCCCAAUCCGAGUA